CUCCUUAUGAGCGAGCUUAGUAGAGAACUUGAGCACGCACUUGAAGAUGGUGAAACUGUCUACUCUCUGUUUCCUGUUUGUCCUCUUCCUUGCCUCUGAUGGGAAACCAGUGCUCAUGGUAGGAGCAAGAGACUGCCACAAAGUAUGGACCUGCAAAGGUCAAAAUCGUUGCUGGGAAGACUGUAAGAAUCGAUAUAGCGGAACGGGCCUCUGCGAUUUAUACACAGCACCACCUGUUCCAAAGCAAUGCUUCUGUGCAUAUAAAUGCUAGUCUUAGUUUGAAGCAUCGUGUAGUAAGCUAAACAAGACUUGAAUGAAUAAAUGACAGCAUUUCUCAGUUAUCAUAGAAUGUAUUUCCCAGAUAUCUGGAGUUCAAACCUCCUUUUAAUAUACAGUAGCUCUUUGAACUGUGUU